AAAAAAAAAAAAAAAACAAAAAAACAAAAAGGGAUCGUAUCCCUCUUCUCCCCUCACCCGAUCCCCCGAAACCCUAGAGGCCCUCGCUCUCCUCCUCCUCCGACGUAGCACUAUAAGAGAUACAGUUCCGGCGCCGGAGUUCGGCCGCGAGUACGAGACGCCACGGUGGCCGAGGGAGUGAGCGGCAAGCGUCGAGGCGGCGGUGGUGGUGGGGAAGGAGUCCGGCGACCACUUUUUGGCUGUGCUCGUCGCUGCGUCGAAGGCGCGAAAGGAGGAGACGGAGAAGAACGUGAGCUCGAUCGAUGGAAACUUUCUCGCUUCAUAGCAGCCGAAAAACUUCACUGCAAGAUAGACAAAGUCGCCAACAUUCUAGAAACUAACCGACCUGACGCCAGAAAUGCUUUCUACCGGGCAACUAUCAAGCAAGGCGAUUUCUUGCUCAACUACAUCCAGAAGCUAUCAUGAGUGAUCGAUUUGCUUCUAAUUGCUCGGAUUUGGUGUUACUCGCCUCGUCCCCAGCUCAGAGGGAGAGAUCGGUUGUGUCUUACUUGGGUUGGGGGUUUCGAUUGCCCAUUCGAUUCGCUUUGUGUGAUCGGGGGCUAUCGGAUUCUCUUUUUUCGCUGGUGUUCGAGCGCGGCGCGCUAGGGUUUAGAAGAGAGGCUUCCAGCUUAUUCACUUAUUGAAGCUUUUCUGAGCAAUCAUAUGGCUCCUCCAUCGAAAGGGCUGCUAUGGUGUACUCCGAUUUGUCAUGGAAAGCAGUGCUAAAGGUUGUGAGGUUAUAGUGAGUGGAAAGCUUAGGGCUCAGCGUGCUAAGUCCAUGAAAUUCAAGGACGGCUACAUGAUCUCCUCUGGACAGCCAGUUAGGGAAUACAUUUAUUCAGCUGUGAGGCAUGUUCUGCUUAGGCAGGUUCAACUAUAUAUUCGUGGAGCCGAUCAAAAUUCGUCUAUACACUUUUUGAUUUUGUUAUCAUACAAUUUUUGAUUCUUUGUAUUUCUUUCAGUUAGAGAGUUUGAUUUGUUAUAAUUACUACAGUGACUGGAUAUUUUUGUUGUGACGUAUGAAUAUUUGAUUUUAUUUUUAUCUUUUUAACAAGAAUUUAAGAAA